GAGCCAAUGAUGAUUUCUUAUUUUAUAGUUGGAAUUACCGACUGAAUAAUUACAUUAUUUUGAUGCCAAUUUGAUCUCUGAGGCUCUCG